rnacentral:lncRNA from 1 species
CACGCAAAAGAAAGUGAGAAGACAGAAAGAGAUCAGAGGAGAGAGAGAGUGAAGAAGAGAUAGCGUGAGAGAGAGAGAGACAAGGCAUGGAGGAAAUAUAUAUGGAGCAUGUAGGUGUUGCUGAGGGAAGAGUUGAGCCAUAUGUCUAGAAAAUAUUAGCAUAUACGAUGGGGUAUUAUCUGGUGGCCGAUUACUAUUCUAGAAGAGAAAUCUUGUUAUCGAGGCAAGUAGUUGCUUUGCUAACUCUUAAAUCCUUUAUCUUCGGUUGUAUGAUUAUAUAUUGCUGCACUUUCAAUCUUAUUUAUCCUCCAUUGAUUCAUGUGCUAUUUGAGAAGGACAUGUUGUCCUCGAUAUUCCAUUUGUUGAAGGACAAGUUGUCCUUGAUAAUCCAUUUGUUGAUGGAACCAGUCUGAUAUGAGGGGAGCUCAUGUAGAUGCAUGAGUUUAUUGUGUUGACUAAUAAUCCAGUGAUCCUAUCUUUGAUUCAAUCACAUAUCCUUGCCAUAUUGGUGUCACGGCAAACAUAUUGUACCGGUCACAGUUCAGGUAUGGGACUGUCUGGGCUCUCCGUUAAGGUCGGAUCUUGUUCGGGAACGUGUCGGUGAUGGAUCCGUAGGAGCGAUCGACAUAAGUAGGUACAGGUGUCCAGGUCUUAGUGGGUAAAAGAGCUCUGCUCUUCUGGAACCUGUGUGGUUCUAGUCGAGGCUGUCGACGUCGGAGUACCCCUCUUAAGAGCGUAAAAGUGUGAAAUUUCACCCCUGUGACUCCCGGGUUGGGAAGCUUGCGGUCAUAUGUGAUGCCAAUAAUUUCCUUAUCCGUUUUCGAGGCUAUUCCUUUUUCACAUCUCCAGUAAAACAUGUUCCAAUGAUUAUUACCCUGUUUAUUCUUUGGAUUCAGUCUGUCUGUUGAUCUACACCAUCAUACCAUUGCUUCUGUUGAAUAGUGAAGUAUCUGCUUGCUGGGUAUGAUUUAUUGUACUCAUCCUUGUCUCCUCUGUUUUCUAGAUGCAGCCGAUGUAACUUAAGUAUGUUCAGAAGAUGCCAUCUAAGAAUAGGCUGGACUAGUGGGUGGGAAACGAUUAGAGAGUUUAAUGUAUUAUGUCUAUUUGUAAAUGUAAAGGAAUUUGUAAAUCAAAUAUAUGAAUUUUUGUGAUCCAUUUCUGGUUUAUGCCUGCUUUAUCACGCCUUGCGUGACUAUAGGCCUCUGGUCUAUAGGCGCGCGGAGGCUGUCUCUCCUAGGCCUAGUCUCGGGGCGUGACAGUACCCUCUACUUGAACAUGGUGCUUUAUGCUUCCUAUUAUUUUCCGAUGAUGUGUUGCCAUCCUAUGAUGCCUGAGUAGAUUUUCGUUGUCCUAUCGGUGAUCGAUGAAUUGCUAUAAUUGCUUUGAAUCACUCAUGUCUUAAUAUUCAUGCCAUGAUUAGAUCACAUGAUCAAGAUUAUGCUAGGUAGCAUUCCACAUCAAAAAUUAUCUUUUUAUCAUUUGCCGACUCGAGGACGAGCAACAAUUAAGCUUGGGGAUGCUGAUACAUCUCCGUUGUAUCUAUAAUUUUUUACUGUUCCAUGUCAAUAUUCUACAACUUUUACAUACUUUUGGCAACUUUUUAUACUAUUUUUGGGACUAACAUAUUGAUUCAGUGCCCUGUGCUAGUUCCUGUUUGUUGCAUGUUUUUUGUUUCGCAGAAAAUCCAUAUCAAACAGAGUCCAAAUGGGAUAAAAAGUGAUGGAGAUUUUUUUGGAAUAUGUGUGAAUUUUGGGAAGUGGAAUCAACGCGAGACAUUGCUCGAGGGGCCCACGAGGGUGAGGGGCGCGCCCCAGGGGGUCAGACGCGCCCUGGGCCCUCGUGGCCACUCCGUAAGGCGGUUGGUGCCCUUCUUUCGCUGCAAGAAAUCCAAUAUCCAGAUAAAAAUCGUGUCCAAAUUCCAGCCCAAUAGGAGUUACGGAUCCCCGAGAAUUCAAAAAACGGUGAAAGGGCAGAAUCAGGGAGCGCAAAAACAGAGAGAGACAGAGAGACUGAUCCAAUCUCAGAGGGGCUCUCUCCCCUCCGCCACCAUGGAAGCUAUGGACCAGAGGGGAAACCCUUCUCCCAUCUAGGGGGAAGGUCAAGGAAUUAGAAGAAGAAGGGGGGCUCUCUUCCCCUCUCUCCCGGUGGCGUCGGAACGCCGUCGGGGCCAUCAUUGCGACAACGAUCUACACCAACACCUCCGUUAUCUUCACCAACAUCUUCAUCACUUUCCUCCAUCUAUCUAAAGCGGUCCACUCUCUCGCAACCUGUUGUACCCUCUACUUGAACAUGGUGCUUUAUGCUUCAUAUUAUUAUCCAAUGAUGUGUUGCCAUCCCAUGAUGUCUGAGUAGAUUUUCCUUGUCCUAUCGGUAAUUGGUGAGUUGCUAUGAUUGGUUUAAUUUGCUUGUGGUUAUGUUGCUGUCCUUUGGUGCCCAUCAUAUGAGCGCGUGCGUGGAUCACACCAUAGGGUUAGUUGUAUGUUGAUAGGACUAUGUAUUGGAGGGCAAGAGUGAUAGAAGCUUCAACCUAGCAUAGAAAUUGAUGCAUACAGGAUUGAAGGGGGACCAAUAUAUCUUAAUGCUAUGAUUGGGUUUUACCUUAAUGAACAUUAGUAGUUGAGG